AGCGGCGGACGGGUGAGUAAUGCUUGGGAAUAUGCCUUAUGGUGGGGGACAACAGUUGGAAACGACUGCUAAUACCGCAUAACGUCUACGGACCAAAGGAGGGGAUCUUCGGACCUUUCGCCAUUUGAUUAGCCCAAGUGAGAUUAGCUAGUAGGUGAGGUAAGAGCUCACCUAGGCGACGAUCUCUAGCUGGUUUGAGAGGAUGAUCAGCCACACUGGGACUGAGACACGGCCCAGACUCCUACGGGAGGCAGCAGUGGGGAAUAUUGCACAAUGGGGGAAACCCUGAUGCAGCCAUGCCGCGUGUGUGAAGAAGGCCUUCGGGUUGUAAAGCACUUUCAGUUGUGAGGAAAGGGAUGUAGUUAAUAACUGCAUUCUGUGACGUUAACAACAGAAGAAGCACCGGCUAACUUCGUGCCAGCAGCCGCGGUAAUACGAGGGGUGCAAGCGUUAAUCGGAAUUACUGGGCGUAAAGCGUUCGUAGGCGGUUAUUUAAGCAAGAUGUGAAAGCCCAGGGCUCAACCUUGGAACUGCAUUUUGAACUGGGUAACUAGAGUACUGUAGAGGGUGGUGGAAUUUCCAGUGUAGCGGUGAAAUGCGUAGAGAUUGGAAGGACAUCAGUGGCGACGCGGCAUCUGGACAGAUACUGACGCUGAGGACGGAAGCCUGAGGAGCGAACAGGAUUAGAUACCCUGGUAGUUC
rnacentral:rRNA from 1 species